UGGGGAAUUUUGGACAAUUGGGCGAAAGCCUGAUCCAGCAAUGCCGCGUGUGUGAAGAAGGCCUUCGGGUUGUAAAGCACUUUUGUCCGGAAAGAAAUCCUUGGCUCUAAUACAGUCGGGGGAUGACGGUACCGGAAGAAUAAGCACCGGCUAACUACGUGCCAGCAGCCGCGGUAAUACGUAGGGUGCAAGCGUUAAUCGGAAUUACUGGGCGUAAAGCGUGCGCAGGCGGUUUGCUAAGACCGAUGUGAAAUCCCCGGGCUCAACCUGGGAACUGCAUUGGUGACUGGCAGGCUAGAGUAUGGCAGAGGGGGGUAGAAUUCCACGUGUAGCAGUGAAAUGCGUAGAGAUGUGGAGGAAUACCGAUGGCGAAGGCAGCCCCCUGGGCCAAUACUGACGCUCAUGCACGAAAGCGUGGGGAGCAAACAGGAUUAGAUACCCUGGUAGUCCACGCCCUAAACGAUGUCAACUAGUUGUUGGGGAUUCAUUUCCUAGUAACGUAGCUAACGCGUGAAGUUGACCGCCUGGGGAGUA
rnacentral:rRNA from 1 species